GCGCGUAAAUUGCCCGAAUCCUGACACAGGGAGGUAGUGACAAGAAAUGACAAUACAGGGCUUCUAAAGUCUUGUAAUUGGAAUGAGUACAAUUUACAUCUCUUCACGAGGAUCAAUUGGAGGGCAAGUCUGGUGCCAGCAGCCGCGGUAAUUCCAGCUCCAAUAGCGUAUAUUAAAGUUGUUGCAGUUAGAACGCUCGUAGUCGGAUUUCGGGGCGGGCCGACCGGUCUGCCGAUGGGUACGCACUGGUCGGCGCGUCCUUCCUUCCGGAGACCGUGCCUACUCUUAACUGAGCGGGGGCGGGAGACGGAUCGUUUACUUUGAAAAAAUCAGAGUGUUUCAAGCAGGCAGCUCGCUCUUGCAUGGAUUAGCAUGGGAUAAUGAAAUAGGACUUUGGUGCUAUUUUGUUGGUUUCGAACACCGAAGUAAUGAUUAACAGGGACAGUCAGGGGCACUCGUAUUCC
rnacentral:rRNA from 1 species